rnacentral:lncRNA from 1 species
UUUAUUUUCUGUUUCUUCCUCCUCCUCCUCCUUGCUUCGAAAGAUGAAGGAAUUUUCCUCUCCACUGGCUAUGGACCCCUCAUUCCUAUUAGCAUCUGCCGUGAGCCUUCUGCCCACACCAAGCAAGCGAGGAAAUUGCGACGGAGAGUUGGAAAGAUACCAGAGGAAAGAACCAAGAUGCCACGAACAAUGAGUAAGGGAGGCAUGAUAAAUGACAAGACGAGCUUAGCGUGCCUUCCUUUAUGGCAUCUUGGUUCUUUCCCCUGGUAUUUUCCCACCGCUCAGUCGCAGUUUCCACAUUCAGAUGGUGUUGGCAGAAGGCGCAAGAGAAUAAGGAGUCCGCAACCAGCUAAAAGGGCGAAGGGGCAGACAACUCAAGACAGCUGGGAUCACAGAACGCCUUCUUUAACAACGAAGAUCUCCCCUUCCUCAGUCCCAGUAGGACCUGGCGCUUCGGGGGCUCUUGGAAGGGACUUAAGCAUUUCUAAAUCCCAGGAGAGCACUUGGGGCGGGACGAGAGGGACAAAAACACAACACUGUGCAGUAUUCAGUCUAGAAACUGAGCCUGCAUGCAGUUUGGGAGCGGCUUCUGUCUCGUUAUACACGAGUAAUAUACUGGAAUCUCCAGGAGCAGAGUGAACACUGACUCACUCACUUGGCACCAACGUCUCAUUAGGAUGCCCUAGGGCACUGUACGAUCCGAAAGUCUCUGAAGGGCCGCUGCAGAAAAUCCAGCCCGGCGGAGCAGAAAUCUCGCAGGUAGAGAGAGGCAUAGCAGUCUCCUGCCUGCCUGUUUGGUGGGACCCGUUUAAGCGGGGUGCGGGCACCGAAGGAGGGUAGGGAAAGCUUCCAGGGUGACUGACUAGAAUUAAGAGAAUCUUCAUCAGCCCCCCAAACCUUGUAAGCUGGACUGGGGCAGGUGACACCCGACAGGGUCCAGGAAGGUGUUUAAAGGCCAGAAUGAACUGGCACCAAGGUUAAGAGGUGAAGGGGUGGAAUCCAACCAUUCAAUUCAACGAGCAUUUUACUAGGCAUUUUACGUGCUAGGUGUUAGGAGGAACUGAGAGCUCUAGGAGCAUGUUUUGUACUAGGAAGGAUGUUGUGG